GUAGGUGGGCAAGCGUUGUCCGGAAUUAUUGGGCGUAAAGCGCGCGCAGGCGGUUCUUUAAGUCUGAUGUGAAAGCCCACGGCUCAACCGUGGAGGGUCAUUGGAAACUGGAGAACUUGAGUACAGAAGAGGAAAGCGGAAUUCCACGUGUAGCGGUGAAAUGCGUAGAGAUGUGGAGGAACACCAGUGGCGAAGGCGGCUUUCUGGUCUGUAACUGACGCUGAGGCGCGAAAGCGUGGGGAGCAAACAGGGAUUAGAUACCCUGGUAGUCCACGCCGUAAACCGAUGAGUGCUAAGUGUUAGGGGGGGUUUCCGCCCCCUUAGUGCUGCAGCUAACGCAUUAAGCACUCCGCCUGGGGAUACGGCCGCAAGGCUG
rnacentral:rRNA from 1 species